rnacentral:rRNA from 1 species
UUGAACGCUGGCGGCAUGCCUUACACAUGCAAGUCGAACGGCAGCACGGGUGCUUGCACCUGGUGGCGAGUGGCGAACGGGUGAGUAAUACAUCGGAACAUGUCCUGUAGUGGGGGAUAGCCCGGCGAAAGCCGGAUUAAUACCGCAUACGAUCUACGGAUGAAAGCGGGGGACCUUCGGGCCUCGCGCUAUAGGGUUGGCCGAUGGCUGAUUAGCUAGUUGGUGGGGUAAAGGCCUACCAAGGCGACGAUCAGUAGCUGGUCUGAGAGGACGACCAGCCACCCUGGGACUGAGACACGCCCCAGACUCCUACGGGAGGCAGCAGUGGGGAAUUUUGGACAAUGGGCGAAAGCCUGAUCCAGCAAUGCCGCGUGUGUGAAGAAGGCCUUCGGGUUGUAAAGCACUUUUGUCCGGAAAAAAAUCCUUGGCCCUAAUACGGCCGGGGGAUGACGGUACCGGAAAAAUAAGCCCCGGCUAACUACGU